UGAAGGGGAGGCUCUCAGAGUGCGAGUGUGAGUGUGUGAGUGUGUGUGUGUAAAGGAAGAAAAACGCUAUGCCAGGUCUGUGCUGUUCAGGAAACAAAUGGCACCUCUCCGAGUUCUUGAAACUUAACAUCACAGACUCCCAAAUUAUUACAGUUUGAGUCAGUCUGAAGAAUACACGCAGUUGAACUGGUGAUUUAUUGAACAAAUAAAAAAUGACACUGAAGACAGAUUAGCUUUGAACCUAUACGAUUUGCGUGCAUGUGGUCACUUUGCAUUAGGCUGCAAACCGCCAAUGGCCACUCCUCAUCAUUGUUGACUUGUCUCCCAGUGAAGAUAAAGAAGACCCAGACCAAACCCAUGUGUUUCUCAAAUACAUCAUGUCAACCACUUAAUUGCUCAGUAAGGGUCGCAGGGAGCCUGGAGCCCAUCCCAGGGGACAUCUCUAAAGUGCACUGAAGAAAGGUAUAGUGCCAUCAGUCUUAAAGUGGAAAACAUAUCCUAUAGUCAUGAUUGUUGAUACGCUCAUUUCCAGAACAGUGGGGCUCCAAGAGACACAUUCUUACCAUGGCCAGAUAAGCUCCACAUCUGAUGCAGGGGUUGACAAAUUAGUAGCCUGGGGUGAAAGUUUUUUUUUUUUUUUUUUUUUUAUUAUCUGACAGGUGACAAGUAGGCUACUGAUAUGGCAGUCACCAGGAUUUCUUCUCCUGCCCCUUAGUUGGAUAAUAAAACCUGCAUUGUGGUAUAGUGGGUAAUGUUGCCACCUCAUAGCUCCAGGGUCACUCAUUAAAUCCAGAGCUUGGGACUCUGUCUUUAUGGAGUUACCCCAUGUUCCCCCUCACAAAAACCAUGCCCCUAGGUGGACUGGCUACACCAAACUACCCCUAGGUGGGAAUAAGCUCUGGAUCCACCGUGACUCUGACCAGGAUAAAACGGUUACUGAAUAUGACUAAAUGAAAGAAAAUACUUUCAUUCAGUUAAUGUGCUUUAGUGGUUAUACACUUUAUAUUUCUUGAUUGGUUGAUAAUGUACUAUAGCUCACUACUUGUUUCCGAUUUUCACCACCUGCUGCAUUACAGACAUCAACAGAGGAUGCAUUAUGGCUGUUGGUAAGAACUAAUCUUGAUUAGUUGGAUAACUAAUGCCAAUCGGACUAACUAGUUUAAAUUACAUUAGCUGCUUUCCCAGGCAGUCAAAACAUAGCGACUUGGGCAACCACAUUUGAGCACACAUUCAAGAUGGACUACAUAAGUUACUGAGGUGACCUCGCCUAGACUGAAAGUACAAAAUACCCUCAUUGAGAGAUUACAGAUGCAGGCUGGCAUUCAGCUGGGGAUGGUAGAGGCCCUGUUUAUACAUUAAAUGCAAAUGUAAAAGUGUAUCUGGCCCGACACCCCCACACACAGAUCACGUUCCCAGGGGCCUGAAGCCCUCUCCCUCUUCAAACAGACCAGUCUUGCCCUAGCCCCAAAGCCUCUGAAGCAAAUACAAUUUA